rnacentral:rRNA from 1 species
UGGGGAAUAUUGCACAAUGGGGGAAAUCCUGACGCAGCCAUGCCGGGUGUGUGAAGAGGCCUUCGGGUUGUAAAGCACUUUCAGCGGGGAGGAAGGCGGUAAGGUUAAUAACCUUGGCCAUUGACGUUACCCGCAGAAGAAGCACCGGCUAACUCCGUG